rnacentral:rRNA from 1 species
UGUUUCCAUUAAUCAAGAACGAAAGUUAGAGGUUCGAAGGCGAUCAGAUACCGCCCUAGUUCUAACCAUAAACGAUGCCAGCCAGCGAUCCGGCUGUGUUCCUCAAAUGACACGCCGGGCAGCUUCCGGGAAACCAAAGCUUUUGGGUUCCGGGGGAAGUAUGGUUGCAAAGCUGAAACUUAAAGGAAUUGACGGAAGGGCACUACCAGGAAUGGAGCCUGCGGCUUAAUUUGACUCAACACGGGAAAGCCUACCUGGAUAGAACACAGGAAGGAUUGACAGAUUGAGAGCUCUUUCUUGAUUCUGUGGAAGGUGGUGCAUGGCCAUUCUUAGUUGGUGGAGCGAUUUGUCUGGUUAAUUCCGAUAACGAUCGAGACUCUAGCCUACUAAAUAGACGUUCCGAUCCUUGCUGUCGGACGCUCUUCUUAGAGGGACACGCGGCGUUUAGCCGCACGAGACAGAGCAAUAGUAGGUCUGUGAUGCCCUUAGAUGUCCAGGGCCGCACGCGCGCUACAAUGAAGGAAUCAGCGUGUGCUUUCCCUGUCCGACAGGACUGGGUAACCCGUUGAACCUCCUUCGUGCUUGGGAUAGGCGUUUGUAAUUGUCCGCCUUGAACGAGGAAUUCCCAGUAAGCGCGAGUCAUUAGCUCGUGUUGAUUACGUCCCUGCCCUUUGUGCACACCGCCCGUCGCAACAUCCGAUGGAAUGAUUUAGUGAGGUCCUCGGACUGGCGCUCGGAUUGACCUCCGGGUCGAGCCGGCGUGCCGGAAAGAUGAUCGAACUUGGUCAUUUAGAGGAAGUUAAAGUCGUAACAAGGUUUC